CUGCUAUAAUGCAAGUCGAACGCGCAGCGAGAGGUGCUUGCACCUUUCAAGCGAGUGGCGAACGGGUGAGUAACACGUGGAUAACCUGCCUCAAGGCUGGGGAUAACAUUUGGAAACAGAUGCUAAUACCGAAUAAAACUUAGUAUCGCAUGAUAUCAAGUUAAAAGGCGCUACGGCGUCACCUAGAGAUGGAUCCGCGGUGCAUUAGUUAGUUGGUGGGGUAAAGGCUUACCAAGACGAUGAUGCAUAGCCGAGUUGAGAGACUGAUCGGCCACAUUGGGACUGAGACACGGCCCAAACUCCUACGGGAGGCUGCAGUAGGGAAUCUUCCACAAUGGGCGCAAGCCUGAUGGAGCAACGCCGCGUGUGUGAUGAAGGCUUUCGGGUCGUAAAGCACUGUUGUAUGGGAAGAAAUGCUAAAAUAGGGAAUGAUUUUAGUUUGACGGUACCAUACCAGAAAGGGACGGCUAAAUACGUGCCAGCAGCCGCGGUAAUACGUAUGUCCCGAGCGUUAUCCGGAUUUAUUGGGCGUAAAGCGAGCGCAGACGGUUGAUUAAGUCUGAUGUGAAAGCCCGGAGCUCAACUCCGGAAUGGCAUUGGAAACUGGUUAACUUGAGUGUUGUAGAGGUAAGUGGAACUCCAUGUGUAGCGGUGGAAUGCGUAGAUAUAUGGAAGAACACCAGUGGCGAAGGCGGCUUACUGGACAACAACUGACGUUGAGGCUCGAAAGUGUGGGUAGCAAACAGGAUUAGAUACCCUGGUAGUCCACACCGUAAACGAUGAAUACUAGGUGUUAGGAGGUUUCCGCCUCUUAGUGCCGAAGCUAACGCAUUAAGUAUUCCGCCUGGGGAGUACGACCGCAAGGUUGAAACUCAAAGGAAUUGACGGGGACCCGCACAAGCGGUGGAGCAUGUGGUUUAAUUCGAAGCAACGCGAAGAACCUUACCAGGUCUUGACAUCCUUUGAAGCUUUUAGAGAUAGAAGUGUUCUCUUCGGAGACAAAGUGACAGGUGGUGCAUGGUCGUCGUCAGCUCGUGUCGUGAGAUGUUGGGUUAAGUCCCGCAACGAGCGCAACCCUUAUUGUUAGUUGCCAGCAUUCAGUUGGGCACUCUAGCGAGACUG
rnacentral:rRNA from 1 species